CCUGAUUGGAUGUCGGAAUAAAAUAUCCAACGAUAAAUGUAAACAUUUUUUUUCUGUGAUUACAUACUUGGAGUUUAAUUUUUUUUGAAAAAUCUUAGCAUUCGCGAUUUAAUAAAAUAGCAUAUUUCACUGGUCAGGUGAUUUAUCUUAUUCUGGGAAACUAACUUGAUAGCUGGAUAUAGUAUUCAUUCUAAACAUUUAAUCACACUCCUCUUCUAUCAAACAUUACAUUCUUUUUGAAUAAACUAAAGAAGUAUCCUGAAUAAGAUAUUUAUGCAUUCAAAUAGACCCUUAUAGUAUUCCAUAAUCAAUGUUUCAAGGGAUAAUUGCACAUGGCUCCCUGCAAAUAUAUCAAAUAGCAAAUAUAUCUCUACAAAACUUAAGAUAUCAUAUUUAUCUCUGCAAAAAUCCUUUCAUCUGUAAAUAUAUCCUUCUGUUAAGAAAUUUUAGAUAACCAUGAGUUAAAAGAGUUAAACCACAGUUAGCUAAAAGAUAAAAUGACUUUUUUUACCCCUUAUAUAUGUAAUUUUUAUUCCAAUGUUGAGUCCCAUCACCUUUCUCGCCCUCUCCUCUUUAUUCAUGGCAAUGGCGAGACCUACGAUGGCAGCAACGUCAAAGAAGAGGCCCUCGGUCGUGGCAAAAAUGUGCCGUGGUGAAGGCAACGAAAGAGAGAAAAUCGGUUUUCAUAGGGACAAAUGUAUUAUGACAAAAUAAUUAUUUUACGCAUUCAUCGUUAAAAAAAACUAACGGUGAAUCAAACGGCAGAAAUAUAUAUGAACGAAUUUGAACUUUUAGAGAAAUAUAUUUGCAAAUCAGAGAAUUUUUGAAUGAAUAAAUAUGAUAACUUAAGUUUUGUACGGAUAUAUUUACUAUUUGAUAUCUUUGCAGAAGCUUGUAUGAAAUUAACAUAUGUUUUAAAAGCAUAAUUU
rnacentral:lncRNA from 1 species